ACACAAGCACUUCCUACCUCAAGUCCUAUUAGUUUGUCUUGUUUUUAUUUGCGACCAAAUUGCAAUUCAUCAUCAUUUCAUUCCAAAUUAUUGGAAUCCCAGAAGCACCUCCUGACUCUUACCUGUUGAGCUCUUGAGAUGAAAACGAAGGGUCACUGCCCAAUGCCUUGGCUUGUAGGUCAGGUGACCUUGUAUCUGACCCUGAACCUCUGCUCUUGACACCACUCCACCAUGGUGCUGGUGGUGUCACCGAUGCUGGAUGGGGGCUGAAAUGUCAAAUGACUGGUAAGCUGAGCCCGAAAGGACAUCGGGUC
rnacentral:lncRNA from 1 species